AGAGUUUGAUCCUGGCUCAGGACGAACGCUGGCGGCGUGCUUAACACAUGCAAGUCGAACGGAAAGGCCCUUCGGGGUACUCGAGUGGCGAACGGGUGAGUAACACGUGGGUGAUCUGCCCUGCACUUUGGGAUAAGCCUGGGAAACUGGGUCUAAUACCGAAUAUGACCAUGCACUUCCUGGUGUGUGGUGGAAAGCUUUUGCGGUGUGGGAUGGGCCCGCGGCCUAUCAGCUUGUUGGUGGGGUAAUGGCCUACCAAGGCGACGACGGGUAGCCGGCCUGAGAGGGUGACCGGCCACACUGGGACUGAGAUACGGCCCAGACUCCUACGGGAGGCAGCAGUGGGGAAUAUUGCACAAUGGGCGCAAGCCUGAUGCAGCGACGCCGCGUGAGGGAUGACGGCCUUCGGGUUGUAAACCUCUUUCAGCACAGACGAAGCGCAAGUGACGGUAUGUGCAGAAGAAGGACCGGCCAACUACGUGCCAGCAGCCGCGGUAAUACGUAGGGUCCGAGCGUUGUCCGGAAUUACUGGGCGUAAAGAGCUCGUAGGUGGUUUGUCGCGUUGUUCGUGAAAACUCACAGCUUAACUGUGAGCGUGCGGGCGAUACGGGCAGACUUGAGUACUGCAGGGGAGACUGGAAUUCCUGGUGUAGCGGUGAAAUGCGUAGA
rnacentral:rRNA from 1 species